rnacentral:rRNA from 1 species
UGGGGAAUAUUGGACAAUGGGCGCAAGCCUGAUCCAGCCAUGCCGCGUGAGUGAAGAAGGCCUUAGGGUUGUAAAGCUCUUUCACUGGUGAAGAUGAUGACGGUAACCAGAGAAGAAGCCCCGGCUAACUCCGUGCCAGCAGCCGCGGUAAUACGGGGGAUGCAAGCGUUAUCCGGAAUUACUGGGCGUAAAGCGUCUGUAGGUGGCUUGGUUAGUCUAUUGUUAAAUAUUAGGGCUUAACCCUGAGACAGCAUUAGAAACUUCUAAGCUAGAGUAUGGUAUGGGCAAAGGGAAUUCCCAGUGUAGCGGUGAAAUGCGUAGAUAUUGGGAAGAACACCAGUAGCGAAAGCGCUUUGCUUGGCCUCAGCUGACACUGAGAGACGAAAGCUAAGGUGGCGAAUGGGAUUAGAUACCCCCGUAGUCC